UAAUACGGAGGGUGCAAGCGUUAUCCGGAUUCACUGGGUUUAAAGGGUGCGUAGGCGGCCGAAUAAGUCAGUGGUGAAAGCCCGCAGCUUAACUGCGGAACUGCCAUUGAAACUGCUCGGCUUGAGUACUAUUGAAGUGGGUGGAAUGCAUCAUGUAGCGGUGAAAUGCUUAGAUAUGAUGCAGAACCCCGAUUGCGAAGGCAGCUCACUAAAUAGUAACUGACGCUGAGGCACGAAAGCGUGGGUAGCGAACAGGAUUAGAUACCCUGGUAGUCCACGCCCUAAACGAUGAAUACUCGAUGUAUGCCAUAAUUGAGUGGUAUGCGUCCAAGCGAAAGCGUUAAGUAUUCCACCUGGGGAGUACGGUCGCAAGAUUA
rnacentral:rRNA from 1 species